AUGCCUAGGCAAAAUGUGAGUCCCAUGAGCCUGCAGGGCCUCCCCAGCUGGCAGCUGCCCUCCUCUCAGCACACCUGGGCCAGGAGUGCACCCCCUUGCACUGCAGGACAGCCAUUGCUCUGGGUCUCUGGGCCCACUUCUCGGUCUCCCUCAUCUCACUGUGACAGCAUCUCCCAGGCUGCUGGGAGGGGUCUAUUAAGCAGAAGUGUUAGGAUGGAUGUAUGGGAUGUCACCCACCCAGGCAGCACGGUUUUCUCCCCUCUGAUCAGACAGACAGGGAGCUUCCAACAGGAGGUCACUUUAACCUGUUGGUUCUCUGGAGGACUUUCGUGCAGUGGCAUAUCAGGAUUUUUUCUUGCAGCACCAGACACGGUGAGCCUCGAGACCCCACUGCCCCUGGAAGGAGCAGAAAUAGUGGCCACGUUUGAGCAGAUGCACUGGAGGGUCUAUGAGGGGAUCCCCCCACAUGUAAGAGGAGAGACAUGGUCUCUGCUGUUGGAGAAGGUGAAGGCAGACAAUCAAGGGAAAUACCAGAUGGUCCCAGUGGGUCUGGAAUUGGCUGAGUUCAUUCAGAUACUGCUGGUUCAGCCUCUCUGAGGAAGGUGCAGUGCGAAAUUCUCUAAGGUCUGAGGUCCCGUGGUGGAGCAGCAGCAAUGUGUCCAAUCCAUAGGUGGGUUCAAUCCCUGGCCUCGCUCUGUGGGGUGAGGUUCAGGUGUUGCUGUGAUGUAGGUCUCUCUGAAGUGGCUCAGAUCCAAUACUGCUGUUGCUGCUACAUGGAUCAUCCACUGAAGCUCCGACUGACCCCUACAUAGACUGGGAACGCCCAUAUGCCACAGGUGCGGCCCUAGAAAGAUACAUACAUAAACAAAAGAAACUGGGUGAGGUUGAUGUCCUCAAAAAUUGUUUAUUCACACACUAGAUGUAUAGACUGUAAAGCCUUGAAUGGGGAGACAGAAAGAGCUGUUGCUUCUUAAUAUUCUAAGGGUGGGGCAAUAACAGAUGAGACCAGGGCUUACAUGUAGGCUUAGAGGAAAGGCCAUGUGAGGACAGAGCCUUAAGGCAGCCAUCCAGAGUCAGGGAAGAGAGGACACCCUCGAAGCCAUCCCUGUUGUUGUCACCUUGAUCUUGGAGGUCCAGCCUCCAGAACUGUGAGAGAAGAAAUGACUGUUGCUUACGUUCCCCAGGCCAUAGUAUUUUGUCAUGGAAACCCUAGCCAAGAAUCUGAAAGUGCCACUGACAAGGAUGAUGGGGAUGAGCACAUAGAAACUGAGGUGGUGCAAAGAGAAGGAGGAAUGAAGCAUCAUCAGGUUUGAUUCAGAACAAUCAUGCCUCUUCCUUACAAUCAUCCGAGGAGGAGCAUUUCCAUAUCCCGGGAUUUUGGAAUAAGUAACAUCAUUUUUGAAUACGAAAUCUGGAGUCUCAUCCAAAGUAAGUGGUGUCCAUCUUCCACCUAACCUUCCUCUGAGGAAUCUGAGAGCAUUUACCAGAGGAAUUCUGCUCUGCACAAAUGGACAUACUCAACCUCAUUGAGGAGAUCCAAGCUAACCCUCACUCACGGGUGGCAGAACAGUGGCAUCCUCCAUGGGUUGAUGACCUGAAACAGAAAGAAUGGUAGAUCGUUUUGGCACAAACAUGAUGAGUGUAUUGGGGAUCAGCAGGAAUUUCAACUGGAGGCCUGAAACCAUGACCAACCAUAAGCCAUCUCCAUCAAGGCAAGAAAAGGAGACUGCUUGCACAGAGGAUAAGAGACAGUUUGGAGAGGUCAGUCAAUCAAUACAGAGCCCAUGGCUCAUGGCUCUUCAUUGGUGGAACAACUUGCAAGGAAAGAAGGCUGUCUUAUUCUUGUUGGGCUCUGCCAUGCACAGGGCAGAGAAGUGCUUCCUGCGGGUCUCCCAAUUCCAUUCAGUAGAGUUUAGGUUAAUUACUUCUCAUGAGGGGAGAGAUAUGGAUUCAGCCCUCUCAGAAGGGACCUGGUCCUCCUAUCUAGCAGACCAUGUGUUUUCUUCAGGGGGCAUCAGUUUCCAUCUUGGGUCCCAAAGGCGGGAGUGAACUUACUGUUGGAAAGCACGGUGGAGAAGCAUUUGGAACAAGCAACACUGUAUGAAGUGCAACUCCAACCUACCACAAGAUACCACCUCGCACCAGUCAGAAUGGCCAUUAUUCAGAAGUCCACAAAUAGCAAGUGUUGGAGAGGGUGUGGCGAAGAGAGAACCCUUCUGCAGUGCUGCUGGGAAUGUAAGCUGGCACAGCAACUACAGCCAACAGUACAGAGGUACCUUAGAAAUCUACACAUAGAACGAUCAUAUGACCCAUCAGUCCCACUCUUGGGCAUAUAGCCGGACAAAACUUUCCUGAAAAAAAAGACACAUGCCCCCACAUGUUCAUUGCCGCUCUCUUCACAAUAGCCACCACAAGGAAACCACCCAAGUGUCCACCGACAGUUGACUGGAUUAGGAAGAGGUGGUGUGUGUGUAUAUAUAUAUAUAUACAUACACACAAUGGACUACUACUCAGCCACAAAAAUGACAUAAUGCCAUUUGCCGCAACAUGGAUGGAACUAGAGACUCUCACCCUGAGUGAAAUCGGUCAGAAAGAGAAAGACAGAUACGAUAUGACUUCACUCAUAUACAGCACAAAUGAACUGUUCCACAGAAAAGAAAAUCAUAGACAUGGAGACCUGGGGGGAGGGGAAGGGAGUGGGAGGGAUAGGGAGCUUGGGGUUGAAGAAUGCAAACUACUGCUUCUGGAAUGAAGUACCAAUGACAACCUGCUGUGGAGCACUGAGAAUAAUAUCUACACACUUACCUCACAACAUGACAAUGGGAGGAAAAAUUAUGUAUGCAUGUAUGUGUAACUGGGUUCCCAUGUGGUACAGUGGGGGGGGGGGAAAGAAGAUGUAAUCAAAACAAACCUUCAUGGCAACAAAUAAAUAGAACAAAAAUCUCUAUUAACAUUUGAGGAUAUAUACACCAAACAUAAAAAAAAAUAAUUUUCAGCAGCUACUCAACCAGGGAGACUUUUGUUUCCCACCCCCACCCCCACCCCCACCCGGAAUACUUCAUACCAUGAAAAUGUGUAAGUAUAUAUACACCUACACACAAGUAUUACAUAUUGUUUACAUACUGCAUGUUUUUCAUACAAAAUACAUUGACUUAUUUGUGUGUCCUACCAAGUAUUGCCCCCAAUAAUUCUGUGUUCCUCAAGACUAAGCUUAUCAGGAGCAGAAUCUAACGACUUAAAGCAAGGCUUGGUAUAUGAGGGCCACUUGAGAUAGCCAAGUGUGGGGAACCUGUUUAGGCACCACAGGGGGAGAGGCCCCCUUGAAAAUGACCUUGAGUUUAGAGGGGCACAUAGACACACUCUGCUUCUAAGAGAAUCUGUGCAUAUCUCAGUUCCACUUCCUUUACCGUCACUCAGCUGUGAAAGCCCCUGAACCUCAAGGACGGACACUUUAGAUACCACAUCAAAAGGCAUGUUAAAACACAUAGGAUCAUAUAUCCAAAGAAGAGCAAUGUUUAAAGGGACCCUAAGUCAACAAUUUAUAAUGAUAUCUGCAGAAAAGACAAAGGUUUUUCCAAUGUGAAAAGUCUUGCAGAAAAGCAUUUAAAAAUGACUGCUUUUAUAUAAAGGAUCUCUACAUUACGUUAGAUAUUGAAAACAUCUAUCACAUGCUUAUCACUAAGGCUCUUUCCUUCUUUUUUUCUUUUUUCACAUGGUUCUACCAGGGGCACAUGGAAGUUCUUAGGCUAGGAAUUGAAUCCAAGCUGCAGAUGCAAGCUAAAAGGCACCUGUGCUCAUGCCCCAUCCUUUAACCCACUGCCCAGCAUCAGCAUCGAAUGCACAUCUCCACAGCACCCUGAGUUGCUCCAGGCAGAUUCUUAACCCCCUGAGCCACAUCAGAGACUCCCAAUCUAUUUAUUCAUGCCCCAUGUAGUUACAGGUUUGAGAGACCUAAGUAGCAAAUGCCAUGAUGGGAGUAGCAGCAAAAAGACUAAAGACAAAUGCAGGCAUAUUUCCUUUACUUCAGACCUCAUUGCAAGGGACGCAAACAAUGUGAAAAGGACAACUACUCAGAGGUGAUGACCAAGUGGAGGCUUCCGGGACUGACAGAUGUAGCUGAGGUGCAGCCUGUCCUGCUGGUGGUAUGCCUCGUCAUCUACCUUACCUUAGUAAUUGGCAAUGUCCCUACCAGUCUGCUAAUGCACAGUGACUCAACGCUUCACACUCCAGUGUGCUUCUUCCUCAGCCACCUACCUCUGCUUUGUAGGUCUGUGUCAUGCCACGAAGGUCACCCCUCAGAUGCUGGUGCAUUUCUUAUCCAAGGGAAGGGAAAACAAAUUUCCUUUCUUGGUUGCUCUAUCCAGUUCCACUUUUUCAUUCAUCAUCCUGGAGAUCACACGAUGGCUCCUACAAACCACAGAUGACGUGAUCACAGUCAUGGCUUCUGACCAUGGCUGUUUGCCAACCCUUGCUCUAUGAGAGCAACAUGUCCCAAAGUUUCUGCCUCUCUCUCACGGCUACCAUUAUAGUCAUGGCUUUGUAACUGGUCGAGCCCAGACCAUCCUGAUACCCUGUCUCUCCUUCCUGGGACCCAAUGAAAUCAACUGCUUGUAUUGUGCUGAUCCACCUCUCUUCAUCCUGCCCUGCUCAGAUAUGUAUGUUAACAUGACUGCCAUGUUUGCGGUAGCUGGUUUCAACCUCUGCUGUUCUCUCACACCAUCGUCCUCACCUCUGACGUUUUUAUUUUCACAGCCAUUCUGCGUUAACAGCUCUGUUGAAGGGAGGCCCAAGGCUUUUUCCAGCUCUGGGUCCCAUCUGCAGGCUGUCACUCUUUUUUAUGGAUGCUCAUCUGCAUAUAUCAGGGGCCUCCUUCUGAAGCAUCUGUAGAACAAGGCAAAAUGCUAGCUGUUUUCUAUAUCUUUGUGAGUCCCCUGUUAAACCUUUUGGUCUACAUAGCCUUUGGAACAAAGAUAUCAAAAGGGAAAUAAGGAGAGGCAUAGUCAGAAAAAUUGUCAAAUAGGGUAGAUAUCUUCAUCUCAGGUGUGUAACAUAUGCUGCGUAUUCCCCUCACCAAUGCGUGAACAUUUUACAAAAGAAAAAAUAAAAAAUCUCUUUGUCACUGGGUACUUUGUCCUUUGUAAUUGGCCUAAAAGACUUGGAAGAGUGUGUCCAAUCAUUAGCCUUUGUCUUCCCCGUGUAUUUCAAUGAAUGAAAUGUCACAAAGGAAAUCAAAGAAAGCAUUAUUAUUGCUCCAUAACAUCAGUAAAUGAUGGGUAAUUCUAACCAUGGAACGCCAAUGAGUAUCAUGUUAUAAAAGAGGGAAUGACUAAUGAGACUACAGUGGUGGCCAUUUGGAUUUUCAGGGCUGAACGAUUUCCAACCAAUGUUCCAGAAGCUUGCCAAUCACAAAAGGGGCAUUUUGGGGUAUUUUUCCCCCUUAAUUCAAAUUACAU
rnacentral:lncRNA from 9 species